UACAGAGGUCUCAAGCGUUGUUCGGAUUCAUUGGGCGUAAAGGGUGCGUAGGUGGCGCGCUAAGUCAGGUGUGAAAUUUCGGAGCUUAACUCCGAAACUGCAUUUGAUACUGGCGUGCUUGAGGACUGGAGAGGAGACUGGAAUUCAUGGUGUAGCAGUGAAAUGCGCAGAUAUCAGGAGGAACACCGGUGGCGAAGGCGGAUCUCUGGGCCAUUACUGACGCUGAGGAGCGAAAGCGUGGGGAGCGAACAGG
rnacentral:rRNA from 1 species